rnacentral:rRNA from 1 species
UACGUAGGGGCAAGCGUUGUCCGGAUUAUUGGGCGUAAAGAGCUCGUAGGUGGUUCGGUAAGUCGGAUGUGAAAUCUCCAGGCUCAACCUGGAGGGGUCAUUCGAUACUGCCGUGACUAGAGUUCGGUAGGGGAGUGUGGAAUUCCUGGUGGAGCGGUGAAAUGCGCAGAUAUCAGGAGGAACACCGGUGGCGAAGGCGGGUCUCUGGACAGUUCCUGACGCUGAGGCACGGAAGGCCGGGGAGCAAACGGG